CAAAUUCUUAGGGGAGGCAGCAGUAGGGAAUCUUCCACAAUGGGCGAAAGUCUGAUGGAGCAACCCCGCGUGAGUGAAGAAGGGUUUCGGCUCGUAAAGCUCUGUUGUUAAAGAAGAACAUGUAUGAGAGUAACUGUUCAGGCAUUGACGGUAUUUAACCAGAAAGUCACGGCUAACUACGUGCCAGCAGCCGCGGUAAUACGUAGGUGGCAAGCGUUGUCCGGAUUUAUUGGGCGUAAAGAGAGUGCAGGCGGUUUUCUAAGUCUGAUGUGAAAGCCUUCGGCUCAACCGGAGAAGUGCAUCGGAAACUGGAUAACUUGAGUGCAGAAGAGGACAGUGGAACUCCAUGUGUAGCGGUGGAAUGCGUAGAUAUAUGGAAGAACACCAGUGGCGAAGGCGGCUGCCUGGUCUGCAACUGACGCUGAGACUCGAAAGCAUGGGUAGCGAACAGGAUUAGAUACCCUGGUAGUCCAUACCGUAAACGAUGAGUGCUAAGUGUUGGAGGGUUUCCGCCCUUCAGUGCCGCAGCUAACGCAUUAAGCAUUCCGCCUGGGGAGUACGACCGCAAGGUUGAAACUCAAAGGAAUUGACGGGGGCCCGCACAAGCGGUGGAGCAUGUGGUUUAAUUCGAAGCUACGCGAAGAACCUUACCAGGUCUUGACAUACUGCGCCAAUCUAAGAGAUAGGACGUUUCCUUCGGGAACACAGAUACAGGUGGUGCAUGGUUGUCGUCAGCUCGUGUCGUGAGAUGUUGGGUUAAGUCCCGCAACGAGCGCAACCCUUGUUAUCAGUUGCCAGCAUUAAGUUGGGCACUCUAGUGAGACUGCCGGUGACAAACCGGAGGAAGGUGGGGAUGACGUCAGAUCAUCAUGCCCCUUAUGACCUGGGCUACACACGUGCUACAAUGGACGGUACAACGAGUUGCGAACUCGCGAGGGCAAGCAAAUCUCUUAAAACCGUUCUCAGUUCGGAUUGCAGGCUGCAACUCGCCUACAUGAAGUCGGAAUCGCUAGUAAUCGCGGAUCAGCAUGCCGCGGUGAAUACGUUCCCGGGCCUUGUACACACCGCCCGUCACACCA
rnacentral:rRNA from 1 species